GACGAACGCUGGCGGCGUGCUUAACACAUGCAAGUCGAACGGAAAGGCCCUGCUUUUGUGGGGUGCUCGAGUGGCGAACGGGUGAGUAACACGUGAGUAACCUGCCCUUGACUUUGGGAUAACUUCAGGAAACUGGGGCUAAUACCGGAUAGGAGCUCCUGCUGCAUGGUGGUGGUUGGAAAGUUUCGGCGGUUGUGGAUGGACUCGCGGCUUAUCAGCUUGUUGGUGGAGUAGUGGCUUACCAAGGCUUUGACGGGUAGCCGGCCUGGGAGGGUGACCGGCCACAUUGGGACUGAGAGACGGCCCAGACGCCUACGGGAGGCAGCAGUGGGGAAUAUUGCACAAUGGGCGGAAGCCUGAUGCAGCAACGCCGCGUGCGGGAUGACGUUCUUCGGGUUGUAAACCGCUUUCGCCUGUGAUGAAGCGUGAGUGACGGUAAUGGGAAAAGAAGCACCGGCUAACUACGUG
rnacentral:rRNA from 1 species